AGCUUGCUUCUCUGGAUGAGUUGCGAACGGGUGAGUAACGCGUAGGUAACCUGCCUGGUAGCGGGGGAUAACUAUUGGAAACGAUAGCUAAUACCGCAUAAGAGCAGUUGUUGCAUGACAGCUGUUUAAAAGGUGCAAUUGCACCACUACCAGAUGGACCUGCGUUGUAUUAGCUAGUUGGUGAGGUAACGGCUCACCAAGGCGACGAUACAUAGCCGACCUGAGAGGGUGAUCGGCCACACUGGGACUGAGACACGGCCCAGACUCCUACGGGAGGCAGCAGUAGGGAAUCUUCGGCAAUGGGGGCAACCCUGACCGAGCAACGCCGCGUGAGUGAAGAAGGUUUUCGGAUCGUAAAGCUCUGUUGUAAGAGAAGAACGAGUGUGAGAGUGGAAAGUUCACGCUGUGACGGUAUCUUACCAGAAAGGGACGGCUAACUACGUGCCAGCAGCCGCAGUAAUACGUAGGUCCCGAGCGUUAUCCGGAUUUAUUGGGCGUAAAGCGAGCGCAGGCGGUUAGAUAAGUCUGAAGUUAAAGGCUGUGGCUUAACCAUAGUACGCUUUGGAAACUGUUUAACUUGGGUGCAAGAGGGGAGAGUGGAAUUCCAUGUGUAGCGGUGAAAUGCGUAGAUAUAUGGAGGAACACCGGUGGCGAAAGCGGCUCUCUGGCUUGUAACUGACGCUGAGGCUCGAAAGCGUGGGGAGCAAACAGGAUUAG
rnacentral:rRNA from 1 species